rnacentral:rRNA from 1 species
CAUCACUAGAAGAUAAAGACUUUUAGCAAUACCUGCCCAGUGCGAAAUAUUACUGUAAACGGCCGCCCUAGCGUGAGGGUGCUAAGGUAGCGAAAUUCCUUGCCUUUUGAUUGUAGGCCUGCAUGAAUGGUUUAACGAGGGUUUAACUGUCUCUAAAUUUUUUAUUGAAAUUGUACUGAAGGUGAAGAUACCUUCAUUAAAAAGUUAGACAAAAAGACCCCGUGCAACUUUGAAAAUUGACUUUAUUCAGGAGUAAAAGAUUUUUAGGUGGGGCGCCUAGAAAGUAAGCCUAACCUUUCUGAGUAACUAAUUCUUUCCGGAUUUGACCCGAUUAUAUUCGAUCAUAGGAGAAGUUACGCCGGGGAUAACAGGCUAAUCCUUUAGUAGAGUUCGUAUUGGCUAAAGGGAUUGGCACCUCGAUGUUGAAUCAGGGAUGAUAGCUUCAAGGCGUAGAGGCUUUGA